GAAUUUAGAGAACUGAAAAUAAUAAAAAAUAUAAAUUUAAUUAAAAUAUAAUUAAUACUUGUUAUCUAAAGAUACACAAAAUUGGUAGAUUUUUGACCUGCUUCAGUGUUCAUCUUUCAUUAAAUAAUCCUGGUUCUCUAUAACAAUUAUAUGUCUAUGACUUCAAAUUGGUUAUGUUGUAUCUGAGUAAACUGCUAACCCAAAACUUCUCCCCUGUUCUAUUUUUCAUGCCCUAAUUAGAGCAUUUUCUAACAAAUAAAACUAAAAACCCACCAAAUUAACACCAUCUUGUGCUUCUUGUUAGUUCAAUAUAAUUAUGGAACUUAACACUCUAAAUGGUAAUUGUACUUAGUGUUGAGCACAGCAAUAUUUUUACAACUUCAGAACAAAUCAAAUUAGCAUUUUUGUCAAAUAAAGUCAAUUGUACUUAAAAUUUACUUCUUGAUACAUUUAGACUAAUGUUUUACAGUGACCUAAUGCCUGCUGGACACAGAAUCUGCUGCUAGGAUUCAUCUGUCUGAGUGUCAAUGGGAUUGCUGAGCAAUCUGAGGGAUUGUUCUUCUAGAAUGCAGUUUGUCUUAUUUGCAAAUAGAUCUCUAAAAAUAGGUCAGAUGAAUUGUAGCUUCAGAAUGAUUAUUUCAUUCCACUGAUUAUAAAUUUUUUAUUUAAGUGGCUGAUCAUCCCAUAAAUCCCAUGAUGAAAUUUCUCAUUGCAUUAUCUAUUUUGGAGGUCCCAGGUGUAAGAAGAUAUUGAAUUAGAUUUUUUUAUAUAUAGUAGACAAAACUCUAAGUUUUUAAUUAGAUAAUUAACUUAGAAACAGAAUGAGUAAGAUUGAAAUAAAACUUUUACUGUUCAGAGAAAUGCCCUAACUAUUUAAGCAGGUCCUGUUUGCAAAAUCUAAAAGAUCAGAUCAUAAUUUUCUUAAAUAAUUUAAUUGAAGAUUCAAAAGAAAUUUCCAGUAAAAUCACUAAUCAUCAAAUUAUUGUAAAAGUUUAUAAAUAAAGAUCAUUUAAACUAGUAGAACAUGUGAAAGUCAAUUGUACAACUGAAUAUUAAUAGGGUUUGUUGCCUUUUUUUAUCCGAGCCACUAUGCAACACAGGCCUUAUUUUUUUUUUCCAUUGCAGUUAAAAGCAGUGAUAAUAAAAUAAUCAAAGCUCCAGAUAAUAAAAGCUAAUGAAACAAAAACAGUAUUCUGGAUAAUGAUGGGUCACCCUCACAGACACAGAUGAAGCAUUUCAUUCAGAACCCAGGUUUGUUUUUUAUAUCCAAAGAGGUAUGUCAAAAAACUAUCAAGUCAUAACAUAUGUGUGCCCAUAUGUACAUAUAUAUCUGAGUUGCAAUAAUUUAUAUAUGUGUACAAAUAUCUAUAUAUAUACAUGCACAUGUUGUCAGGACUUAAAGAGUGAAGUGAAAUAUCUCAAGACGCUGUCAGGGAAGGAUGUUCCCAUAAGAUAAAACCCCACAAGGGGCAUAGAUGGUGAACAGGAAAGCAUUAAUUCCAGGCCUAAACUGAGGUGAAGGUUUGGAAUUAGCACGGUGGACAAAACCCCACUGUGAUGUGGGAACUCACAAUAAGCACAGAAGGCAAUAGGAAGAUUCCAAGCUGAGUCAGAUCUGGGUAGCCUAUCUGGACAAAAACUCUCACCAUGACAAACUUGAGACAGGAAGCAAGUCCUUAUUCACAUGCCAGCCCAAGCUGUGGGAAUAGCACCUACGUUCUGAGGAUACCUGGGAGUUAGAUUGUAUGAAAGUGAUACCUCCAGAAGAGCACUCCAAGGAACCCUGCCAGUGAGAAGACCAGAAGAAGAAGGGAAGGAGGCCACAGAAACCCAUGUGGUGGUGACUAAUUUUAUACUUAAUCUUUCUCUCCUCUCUCUCUGCCCUCCCUACCACACAUCUGCUCUUAAAUAAGAUUCAUAUCCUGACACUGGCAUAUGGUCUCAUUUGCACCUUAAUUUGGGCAGAAGCAUCUUUUGACAUGUAUGCUAACACGUGUGUACGCAUAUAUGUUCAUUUGUCCAAAUGUAAACACAUAUAUCAUUGAAUCUACCUUGGAAUCUAUAUCAUCAUAAUAUUCCUAUAUCAUAGGAAUCUAUCUUGCCUCAGCACAAAGUAUUUGCUUGUUGAACCAAUCUAAUAUCUAAAUAUUUAGGUUCAAAUUUAAGUUUAUGAACUUAGUUAUGUAAGUUAAUUGCAAAUUGCUAAUGCCAGUUUUGAUCCUAGCAUGUAGCAUUAUACAAAAUUUCUUCUUGAAAUAGUUCGUAGAUCCUACCUUCCCUUUCACAAUUUACUGCAAUAGAAAAAGAAAAAAAGAAACAAAAAAUACCACUAGCAUCAGUACAGAAACCAAAUAAAGGAGCAAAAUAAUUAUGUAGUUUGUAUAUUUCUCUGAAGACAAGACAGGCUAUCUGACUUCCAACAAGUUUGUGUUACAAAGGAUUCCUUAUAUUUACGUGAGCACCUUUCUGAAUAUAGUCCAGCUUAUUUAAAGUAAAUAUAAUAGAGUGAAUCAGCCCAGUGAUAACCUGGGGAGUUAAAGAUCAUGUAUAGAGUAGGAGAGUAAAAGCUGUUGGGUCUUAGCUCAGGUUUGCUCAGAGGACAGAUUUUCCACCUUCAGGAAUAAUUUGCAGAACUUUAGUUGCUCAAUCAUACAUGCUUCAAAUGUAAUUUUUCUUCCCUGUCCAGCACCACUCCUGUAUUUUUCACAUACUUGAAAGCCUCUCAUUGUGUGAUCCCUCUUCUCUCAUGCUAUAUUAGGCCGCUGAAAUUUCAGUGACUUUCAUGAAUUGCACUUCUAUCUAAAGUGUUAAACAUUAUUCAUCCAGCCUACUACAUCUGUUUGGCUGUGUAUGUCAUCCAUGUGUGUCAUAACCAUGUACAAAUAUUCUAUAAUUCAUACAGUAUUGAAGCAAUGUUUCCUGUGUAAUGCAACUAAAUACACUAAUUUAUUUUCAAAUUUAUUGCAGAACUCAAGUGGGUCACUACUGAAUUCCAACAAUAAAACUUCCUUUAACUCACUGAAGGCAGUUUCUCCUGUCACAAACAUCACUUGAAUUCCAAAACCUGUCUGGAUAGGUGAGGGGAGAGUAGUGGAAUGCUGUUUCCCAGACUUCAGUAAGGCUUUUGAUGGUAUCUCCCAUUAUAUCCUCAUAGAUAAAAUCAGUAACUGAAGGGUAGACAAGCAGAGAUGGAUGGAGAAUGUCUGAACAGCAGAGCUCAGGGGGUUUUGAUCAGCAGCACCGAGAGCUGGAUGAAAACCCACAAGUGAUAUUCAAGAUAUACAAGGGAUUUGAUACUGGGUCCAGUCUUGUUCAACUCAUUCAUCAAUGACUUAGAUGAAGGGAUAGUGUGGGGGGAUUAGUGGUGGAGCAGGGCCAGCCAGCCCCACCGGGGAUCUCAGCUACCUUUUGAGGCUGGAAGCAAGAGAGAAAUUUCCUGGGCUUGCCUGUUUCUAAAAUGUGGAAUUCACAGAGGCGGACCAAGCUUCCAAAUGGUUCAAGAGGAUGUCAACUCUCAGAACCAGCCAGCCACUGGUUCCCUCCAGGCACAGAGGAAGCUCCUAGCAGCCUCUCACAGGAAAAUCAUUUCCGUGGGUGGUAUUUUCCUCCUUACUAAAUAGCAAUUAAUGGGAAACCAGCACAGGUAGAUGCUUCCCAGCAAGUUGGCUGAUGGCAUAAGGCUGGGAGAAGUGCCAUCAGGAUAUUCCAGAGGGCUGUGCAGCCCUUUAGAUGGACCUUGCCAGGCCGGAGAGCUGGGCAAAGAAGAACCUUCUGGAAUUCAACAAAGGCAAAUGCAGGGUCCUGCCCCUGGGGAGGAGCACAGGUUAGACCUGGUGGAAGGCAGCUCUGCAGAGAAGAAGCUGGUGGACAAGUAGCUCUGCAUGUACUUUCCAUGUGCCCUUGUGCCAAGAAGGCCAAUGGAAGAGCAUUGCCAGCAGGCUGAGGGAGGUGAGCCUGCCCAUCUCCUCAGCCCUAGUGAGGCCACAUAUGCUGUGCUGUGUCCAGUUCUGGGCUCCUCAGUACAAGAGAGACAUGGACAUCCUGAAGCAGGUCCAUCAAAGAGCUAUAAAAAUGAUUUCCUCUUACAAGGAAAAGUUGAGAGAAUUGGGCCUAUCCAGCUUUGAGAAGAGUCGACUGAGAGAAGACCUUGCCAAUGUCUAUCAGUAUCUGAAGGGACAGCGAUAAGAGGAUGGACCAAGCUCUGUUCAGUGGUGCUGAGCAAUAAGACAAGAGCAACGGGCAGCAACUCAUGCACAGCAAAUUCCACCUGAAUAUGAGAAAGUACUUCUUUAUUCUGUGGGUGACUGAGCAGUGGAACAGAUUCCCCAAAGAGAGGGUAGAGUCUCCUUCACUGGAGAUGUUUAAAGGCCAUCAGAACAGAUGGAAGGACAGAAUGUGCAGUGUGCAUUGUCUAAAGUUUCCAGAUAGAAACACUGUCCUUUCCAUUUACACCAGUUUCAAAAUGAUGUGGAAACCUUGAAGUUCCUCUGCUAACCAUCAAAGGAAAACAGUAUAUUUUGGCACUGCCUCCACUACUGAAGACAAAUUGUAAAAAUCUAUUUCUCACACUGCAGGAUUUUUCCAAGUAUCCCCAUUUUUCUGACGGAAAACCAGCUGGAUUAUACUGGCAAAGACCUCAGGAAGGCAGAACUAAUUGCUCCAAUUAUUACUGGAGAGCCAGGUGGGAAAUUAGAAUGUGGGGCCAGUUGGGGAUAGAUAAAAAAAUACUUCUGGGUGUUUAGAGAGGAAGCUGAUAAUACUCAGGUUUAUAGGGCUGCUGCUGUUUAUCUUGACUCAGCUUUUUAGGCAUCAGUAGUAAGGCUAUUCCUAGCUUAAGGGAACAUGUUAAAUAUAGUUUUCUUUUUAAAAAAGAGAGGAUAAAGACUACUGUCAGAACAUAGACCUGAUUAAUUUUUUAAGGAUCCCUUGUGACAGAAAAGUAUAUCAGAUCUUUUCAGUUCUUAAAAUCAGCAUAUGACAGGCUGUCUGCAAGUGCUUUUGGUACUUGUUUUCUAUUCCCUUAUGUCCCUUUUUCUUCCUCUGUAAUGUAGAAGCUGCUCAUGUGAGAAAUUAUUCUUGCUUGUAUUUGCUGCUUUAAAUUUUGUUGGCAUUGAUUAAAAUUAUGCUGUUGAGUUGUAGAUGGCAGACCCCCUGUAGAAGGUAAUGGCAGAAAGCAAUGUUCUGAUUUUAUAUUAAAGACAAAUUAUACAAAGUCAGGUUGAAUUUUAGCCUUUUUAUUUAUAGAGAUAGUAGAGAAGUUUGACAAUUAUUCUUCUUCUUUCAAUUAGAUCUCAUGUUGGGAAUGGAUCACAUUUUAAUCAGUAAUAUUUUAUUUUGCAGAAAGACCUCUUCUACAUGUAAAUCAGAAGGGCAAAAAGACUAUAAAAGAAGGUAUUACAGCCACUAAAAAUGGGUUUUUAAAAAGAGAUUAACAGAUUUACUUUGCUCUUAAGGAAAGACAAUGAGAAUGUGCAGCAAUUUCUUUUGCUAUGUACAUGACAUGAACUCAGAACCAAAAAAAUGUAAUUCAACCUCUGUUCAAGUCCAUGUUGGUAACAUUUCAGAUUGUCUGUAUUUCUCUUUAAAUCCAUGGAUCAAUAUCCAUUACAAUCAAGUCAACAGUCUCAUACUUGGUCAGUAUAAGGCUCUGAUUAAAAAGAAAUACAAGUCCAGAUUUUUUCCAGGUUCUCAUACAUUUUGCUCUAUGUUAGGAUUAAAUUUGCAAAACUUAAGAAUGAUUUGAGGUGUUGGGAAGGCAGCAAAUGUCAAAGAUAGUAUUUGACCUAAUUAGAUGAUACUUCCUGUGAUUUUGGGAUCUAGUCUAUAAAGGCCUUUAAAAUAAUUUGAUCAAGCCUUGGUCCAGAAACAUAGAACUACAUUAUGGUGAAAGUUACUGCUUCUGACUUGGUCAUUUAUAAAUACUUAGUUAUACUGCUAUAUUUAUAUUUGUAUUUAGUUCCAUUUAACUAAAUUUAACUAAAUUUAAGAAAAUUUAAGAAAAAUAAAUACAUUAGUUUAUGGUUUUUAGGUAAAUUGAAGACUACUCCAGCAUUUGAAUUCAUAGUUCCUCUGCCUGUUCAGUCACUUCCUGACAUAAAUAUAGAAAGAGCAUUUGUAUGCUAUGUAACGAUUCUUGCCAUUUUCCUUAGAAAUAACAGUUCUCAGAUUCUUGCUACCCAAUACCGCAUAUGUGACAUUCUGAUGUUGCUUCAGGAGUUGAAACAAUCCAAAGGUAAGAAACUAAUAAGAAAGUGGAAAUUUCCUGGCACAGAGUUAUUGACUUAUCUGUUCAAAACAAAACACUGGAUGAAGUCUGUGAAAUGUGGGUGCCUGAUCAAAGGUACAGAAGAAAUCACUGCUGAAGGAUGGAAAUGUUUUGACUUCUGUAAUUGUAAGCACCUGAGUGGACAGCAGUUCCCAGAGCACCACUGACACUGAACCAGCAUGUUUGCAGUUUGUGUGUUGAGCCCCUCAAAAAUCUUUGUCAACUAUUUCAUAUCAAAGAGUCAUAGAAUGGUUUGGGUUGGAAGAGAUCUUUAAGGAUCAUCUACAUCCAACCCCACCCCAUGACAGGACACCUUCCACUAGUCCAGGUUGCUCAGACCCUCAUCCAACCUAUCCUUGAACACUUCCAGGGUUAGGGAAACCACUUCUCUGGGAAACCUGAUCCAGUGCCUCUUGUGUUCAAUCUUAAUCUACUCUCAGUUUAAAACCAUUGUCACUGUAGGCCCUGGUAAAAAGUUUUUUACUUUUUUAUAGCUCCCCUUUAUCUAUUUCAAGGCCACAAAGUCUCCCAGGCUGGACAACCCCAACUCUUUCAGCCUGUCUCCAUAGGAGAGGAGUUCUGUCUCUGAUCAUUCUAAUGCAAGAAAGUUUCUCACCUGAAGUAAACCUAUUUUUAGCCUGGACAAACCAGACUUCAAAGUAUAGAUUUGUGCAUAUGUAAGAGCAUUUCCAAAUAUCAGUAACUGUGCUGUAAUUAUCUGUUAAUAACUUUCUUCAUCUGCCUUUUUUCUCCUCUUAUAACUUUCUGGUUGAAAUUCCAAUAUUAGGGCAUUUUUCUCUGAACAUGCUCAUAAGGACUAAUAUUGUACUUCUGAGAUUUCAACCUUCAGAUUUAAAAGAAAUAAAAAUGCUAGUUUUUUAAGGUGUGAGAUGCAGCAAGCCCUUAGCCUGUUCUUUGUCAUAGUACACUAAGUCCUGUGGUUUAAACAGUGUUGCUUUAGCCUAGUUAAAGAGCAAGUCAAAAUCAAUUUUUUUUCUAAGUUUUAAUUACUCUGAAGAAUAUGGCAUUGGUUAGCUGUACCUGCUCUGUCAGUUUGUUCCAUGACUUCUUUUACUCAAGAGAGAUAAUCCGCUUAUCAUCCCUGGGAACUCCUCUUCAGGAGAC